GAUGAACGCUGGCGGCGUGCCUAAUACAUGCAAGUCGAGCGAACGGACGCGACGCUUGCUGCGCUGAUGUUAGCCGCGGACGGGAGAGUAACACGUGGAUACCCUCCCUAUAAGUCUGGUAUAACUUCGAGAAACCGGAGCUAAUACCGGAUGAUAUUUUGAAGCGCGUGGUUCAAAAGUGAAAUACGGUCUUGCUGUCACUUAUAGAUGCAUCCGGGCUGCAUUAGCUGGUUGGUCCGUUAACGGGUUACCAAGGCAACUAUGCAUAGCCGACGUGAGAGGCGGGUAGCCGACACUGGAGCUGAGACACGGUCCUGACUACUGAGAUAGGGAGCAGUAGGGAAUGUGCCGCAGUGGGCGAAAGCAUGGCGGAGCGACGCCGAGUGUGUGAUGAAGGUCUUCGGAUCGUAAAACUCUCUUAUUAGGGAAGAACCGAUGUGUACGUAACUGUGCACAGAGUGACGGUACCUAAUAAGAAAGCCACGGCUAACUACGUG
rnacentral:rRNA from 1 species